UAUUUUUGGUUCAAGCUUCAAAGAGACUAGCAAUCAUUUUUAAAUUUGUUGGAUAACUCUUCUAGCAACUUCAAGAACCGACUCCACCCAGCAUAACUCUCUCCUCUCUCACUCUGAUCAUUUCUUCCUCAAUCUGCAAACUUAAAAACACCAGCAAUAGUGAGAACUAAGGCAGCUUCGUCGGACCGGUAACGCCUUCAGCCGACAAUGUUAAUUGAAGAGCACCUAUUUUUGAAAUCAAGAGAUUCAAGUCAGAAAAACAAAUAGAAUAGACAAAGAAGAAGAAGAGGACGGCGACAACAGUAGCCACGAACCACAGCGGCGAAGGUGCGACUGGCGGCCGCGACCGUCGGCGCUGCCCAACGCCACGGCGGUCCGCGGUGGCCGCCAACAGCAGAGAAAGAGACAGAGAGUGAGAUUGAGGGGGAGAGCAGCGAGAGAGGUUGAGAGAUAAUGAUCGAGAUGGAGCAUACCUGAGGCAGGGGUGGCGGUGUGAUGGAGACAUCGGCGGUGACGGCGGGCCUUUCCGGAGGGGCGGAUUUUAGAGGGGAAAAUGGAGGCAGAAAACCCUAGAAUUUGGGCAUUCUUGAGGUUCGAAUGGCAGUGUAGAAUGAACAAGCAAGGACUUCUAUUUCAUUAAGCGUAUCAGGUUAAGCUGUGGUGCAGAUGGAAGCGAGCAGAGCAAAUUCUUUGAUGUAUAUGUAUUAAACCAGGCUCAGGAUUUCAUGUCCUCAUACAUGUAAUCCACUUGAGUUAUUUCCGCUGCAACACUUAGUCUAUUCUACUUUAUUGAUGUGUUGUAGAGAUUUUAAACCAAUAGCUUCGAGAAUUAUAUUAUUUAGACAACUUGUCGUUGUGUUAUUGUAAGUUGUCUACUCGUGAGUUUUAAAAGUGAUUGCUUAUGAUUAUCCAAUAUUAAAGUAAUUCAUUGUUAAA